CCUGGGCUAUUUUUUUUUACAUGGUGGUUUUUCCUAGUUCAUUGACAGUGAUGACCGGUUCCCUACAGAGCUGGCCACCUUGCUGAGUGCACUGGAUGGCACACAGUGACAACAAAUGACACAGAAGCCUCUCUUCUCGAGGACUCGAGGAGUUAAAUAUCUGAUGGAGAAGAGAAGACAGGACCCAGGCACAAGCAGCGCAAUCUGUAUGAACAAAUACAAGAAUCACAUACUCCACAGUCCCAUGAGCCACGGGGAUAGAUAGCAAAGGGUUCCCCAGCAGCCCUGGCAGGCAGGUAGACAGCCACAGCUAUGCGGGCCCUUAGGUCAGCCCUCUCAGAUGAUCUGAAACCACUUCAGUCUGUCUGAAGCUCUCAUGAACAUUUCCUGUUAAGUAUUGUUUUCAAUAAUUUAUUCUGGAGGAGAUGUUGGCUCCCCUGGGAAUCACUUUGCAGCACAUCCCCUCCAGAGACCAGCUACAGACAUCAGGCGCCAGGAUAGAAGAGUCGCUCUGUGUAGACGGUGGACCAGGAAUAAGGUUGCCUCAAAAAAAUAAUAGCUGACAUCCGCCCCACCCUCCACUCUUCAAUCAAGCCAGUCAGGCAAUGAACCUUUUCACACCUGAGGGAUUAUUUUUGCUUUUGUCUGAUUCUGCUGUGUUAAAGGAAACAAGUGUUGAGAAAGGACUCAAUUAACUGAGCUUCAGGAUAAUCCAAGGUGAAGAAAAACAAGAGCUGACAAAGAAAAGAAAUGGUGCUGCUGGGUUAGGGUCUCCCCAACUGAGCUGGUCUCAGCAAGUGGCGUCCAUUCGUGGGAGCUUGAAUCCAGGUCGAAGGGUCACCGGAGCAAUGGUUGGAAUGGAAAACUAGCUGGAGGACACCCGAGUACUCUAAAAGCAAUCCCCAUGGCCAAAAUCAACAGCCAAUUUGGAUACCAUCAAGACACCUGAAACCUUAUCAUGAGCCAGAUGCCAAGGAAGAGAUUCGGGAGGAUCCUGAGGACCCCCCGGUUGCAGCCAUGUUGAGACUGAUGCUGAGGAGGACCCCAACUGUCACGAGCAACACCCGUCGACCACAGCCACCCACCUGGGGACAGAUCAAGAAGCUGUCACAGAUGGCGGAGGAAAGCGGAACAACCAGUCACAAUGAAUAAUUUAAUGGUAGCUAUGAUAGUGGUUAUCACCACUGCCGUGAGUAUUCCUACAAUAAGGGCUGGUAAUAACGCCUGGAUGCAAUCACUCUAUGACACAGUUACAUAUGCUUUCUGAUCUCAGUAUUUACCAUAAUAAAUCUGCUCCUAUAAUUGAGGCAUACCACCCUUAAAAACCUAUUUGUAAACAGGAUUGGACCCAGUUAGAAAAAAUGAACACAAUUGUUUAGGAAGAUUGCCUUGCAGAACAGGCAGAGAUGCUGCACAACGAUUCCUAUGGAAUCAUUAUUAAUUGGUCCCCUAAGGGGAUGUUUAGCUUGAAUUGCACCUCUCAGUCUGCGUGCCACAGUCACACUAUGUUUAGAUGAUCUGAACAAAACAGUCAGAUGGUAGAAAUGUUAAGAAGUACGGCAAA
rnacentral:lncRNA from 1 species